CCUACGGGGGGCUGCAGUGGGGAAUAUUCCACAAUGGGCGAAACCCUGAUGCAGCGACGCCGCGUGAGUGAAGAAGUACUUCGGUACGUAAAGCUCUAUCAGCAGGGAAGAAAAUGACGGUACCUGACUAAGAAGCCCCGGCGAAAUACGUGCCAGCAACCGAGGUAAUACGGAGGGGGCAAGCGUUAUCCGGAUUUACUGGGUGUAAAGGGAGCGUAGACGGCAGGGCAAGUCUGGAGUGAAAUCCCAUGGCUUAACCAGGGAACUGCUUUGGAAACUGGGCAGCUAGAGUGCAGGAGAGGUAAGCGGAAUUCCGAGUGUAGCGGUGAAAUGCGUAGAUAUUAGGAGGAACACCAGUGGCGAAGGCGGCUUACUGGACUGUAACUGACGUUGAGGCUCGAAAGCGUGGGGAGCAAACAGGAUUAGAUACCCCAGUAGUC
rnacentral:rRNA from 1 species